rnacentral:tRNA from 1 species
CGGGGGCGUGGCGGGCGGCACGGCUCGCCGGCUCGGGGUCGACCCGGUGCUCGUGCGCUGCGUGUGGGUCGUCCUCACGCUCCUGAC